CUUAAAGAUGAUGAGGUUGAUAGGUCUCGGGUGGAAGCACGGCGACGUGUGGAGCUGAGAGAUACUAAUCGGUCGAGGACUUAUCCUAAA
rnacentral:rRNA from 1 species